rnacentral:rRNA from 1 species
UGCAGCUGAAGCGGCUCCCCGUCAGGCUCAGGAGGAGGCGCGGGGGUUCCCGGCGGCGGGCGGAGGCCGAGGAGGCUCCGGUUCGCCGUCNGCGGCGCUGCCCCCCGUCCACUCUGCACUUCUGCGGGGAGCCGGCCAACGGCAGUCGCCCCCGGNUCUGGAGGCGUCCGGGGGAGGUGGCCCCGCGCNUUGCGGCGCGGGGAGCGUACAGCCCCGGCGCCCGGCAGUCCGGGCAGUUUCGAAAGGAAGCGGAGGCGACUGAGGAGAGGCGUUGCGGUCCUUCGCACGCGGCGGCGCGGGCCCUCUUUCUCUUCGGAGGAGAGGGCUGGGCCGCUUCCGUCGGGUCGGCGGCCGAGGAGGCCACUGCGCGUCAGUGGUCGCCGACGGCUCCGUCGCGCUCUGGCGGGAGGCCGGUCACACCUCG